rnacentral:rRNA from 1 species
ACGUAGGUGGCAAGCGUUAUCCGGAAUUAUUGGGCGUAAAGCGCGCGUAGGCGGUCUCUUAAGUCUGAUGUGAAAGCCCCCGGCUCAACCGGGGAGGGUCAUUGGAAACUGGGAGACUUGAGUGCAGAAGAGGAGAGUGGAAUUCCAUGUGUAGCGGUGAAAUGCGUAGAUAUAUGGAGGAACACCAGUGGCGAAGGCGGCUCUCUGGUCUGUAACUGACGCUGAGGCUCGAAAGCGUGGGGAGCAAACAG